GAAUAGUAAUCACAGUUCCUACUCUGACCACCUCUUCUGAUUUGAUUUUUAGGUCUGAACUCAGCAGUGCUGCCUUUGGUGUCUUUAAAGGGCACGAUAUAACCUCUUUUAGCAAAGUGUCUCAAUGGUGGUGCAGAAGGAAGAUGCAACAGGCAUCUUGUAGAAGAGACCCUACAACUACGUGGUGUCCCUGUGAAAUGCAGAGAGGCAGCAGGGCGCAGCAUGGCACGGAUCCGUCCGCACCUAGAACUGGGAGCCAAGGUCCUCAUGAAAGGGUGGCAUAAACCUGAUUUCCCUACUUUUGGACAUGAUCGCUGAAAUAACACCGAGUUUUCUCAGCUGUUCAUGCUAAAAAAAUGUGCAAGGCAGGCCUGUAAAUGAUCAUGAACCCAGAGCUUUACUUUGGA